UUUAUUGAGAGUUUGAUCCUGGCUCAUGACGAACGCUGGCGGCGUGCCUAACACAUGCAAGUCGAACGAAGCUCCCGAGGAUUUGAUUCGUCAGAUCCGAAGGAUGACUUAGUGGCGAACGGGUGAGUAACGCGUGAGCAACCUGCCCCGGAGUGGGGGACAACAGUUGGAAACGACUGCUAAUACCGCAUGACAUAUACGAAAGGCAUCUUUUGUAUAUCAAAGAUUUAUUGCUCUGAGAUGGGCUCGCGUCUGAUUAGAUAGUUGGCGGGGUAACGGCCCACCAAGUCUACGAUCAGUAGCCGGACUGAGAGGUUGAACGGCCACAUUGGGACUGAGAU
rnacentral:rRNA from 1 species